rnacentral:rRNA from 1 species
UACGUAGGGUGCAGGCGUUAAUCGGAAUUACUGGGCGUAAAGCGUGCGCAGGCGGUCUCUUAAGACAGGUGUGAAAUCCCCGGGCUCAACCUGGGAAUGGCCAUGGAAACUGUCUGGCUAGAGUCCGGAAGGGGCGAGUGGAAUUCCGUGGUGUAGCGGUGAAAUGCGCAGAUAUCAGGAGGAACACCUAUGGCGAAGGCAGCUCGCUGGGACGGUACUGACGCUGAGGCGCGAAAGCGUGGGGAGCGAACAGG